GACGAACGCUGGCGGCGUGCCUAAUACAUGCAAGUCGAGCGGACGGACCGUAAGCUUGCUUUUCUUUCGUUAGCGGCGGACGGGUGAGUAACACGUGGUCAACCUUCCAUUUAGGCGGGGAUCACAGCGAGAAAGCGGAGCUCAUACCGGAUAACACUUUUUGUCGGAUGGUUGGAAAGUGUUAGCCGGUGCGGGUUAGCGCGACGGGUUGGGCCCGCGGCGCAUGGGCAAGUUGGUGAGGUAACGGCUCACGAAGGCGACGAUGGGUAGCCGACGUGAGAGGGUGAACGGCCACACUGGGAGUGAGACACGGCACAGACUCCUACGGGAGGCAGCAGUAGGGAAUCUUCCGCAAUGGAGGAAAGUCUGACGGAGCAACGCCGCGUGAGCGAAGAAGGCCUUCGGGUCGUAAAGCUCUGUUGUUAGGGAAGAACAAGUAAGGCAGUAACUGGGCUUAUCGUGACGGUACCUAACGAGAAAGCCACGGCUAACUACGUG
rnacentral:rRNA from 1 species